rnacentral:lncRNA from 10 species
UUUGGACUGAAAAAUCAGUGCACCUGUGCCUACAAUCAGGCAGUAAAUGGUUCAGUGGUCGCAGUAAGCGCAGGGCUCUUUUGGGAGGCAAAUUGAAACUCUAUUUAAGCAAAGUGAUUCAGAAGGAGACGUUCAAUAUAGGCUUCCCCUGGGAACAUUUCCUCCUAAGGUAUUAAUCAGGGCACAAGGCAAAAUACUCCACAAUAUUGUUUGAAAGCUAAGAAUGUAACUCAGAGACAGAAACCAUGGAAACCCACUUAUUUUCUGAAAUGUUGCCUCUCUUUGGAGGAGACAACGACAGGAUGAAUAAGCAGAUAUGCUUUACUUAAAGGUUAUGUGUGAGUCAGGGUACCCUCUGAAUGUCUUUAAUAUGUUAAAUAUUCAGGUAAAUGUCUACAUAAAGUGGUACACAUAAAAGUGAAAUUGUAGCAUAGAUUGGAAACUUAAAAAUGCUAUAAAAGUAUAGAGUUUACAGCAUUUAACAUUUGUAAAAAAUUUCUACAGGCUCUGAGGUGCAAUUUUAUUUUUAUGAUUAGGACUUUUAAUUAGGUUUUAAAUCCUGGCUCUUUACGUUUUGCUGUAUGACUUAGGGUGAGUUAGCCUCUGUAAGUGUCAAUUUUUCUCAUCUGUUAAAUGUUACCUACCUAAUAGGGUAGUUGUGAGAACUCAAUGAAAUAAUGUACAUGAAAUGUUUAGCACAAUGCCUGGUCCACAGCAAAUGUUCCACAAAAAUUAACCUCUAUGGUAGCAUUCUAGACUUUAAGCCAUAAAAAAAAUCAUAGAUUAUUUCCAAAUGGAAAGAAUCCUCAUUGGUUGGUAUUCUCAGUUUACUCCAAGAAAAACACUCUUUGUACUAGCAUAAAGAAAGGAGAGAACUUGGCCAAAAAAUAAAAAUACCUGGAUAAAGAUCCGUGCAGUGUUGUUCUUCUAAUUUCACCUUUUAGUAAGGACUAGUAUUUAAUAUUUUUUGUACACCUCCAUGUGUCAGGCACUCUGUAUUCACAGCAGUCCUGUGAAGUGGCUAUAACUGUCUCACAUUACAGGCAAGGAAACUGAGGCUCAAAGAAAUGAAAGAACAUGGCCAAGCCUGUGUACUAUGUCAGCAGAAGAGGGAUUUGAAUGCCAGAGGCAACGCUAUUUCAGUUCAUCUUACAACGCCUUAGAAGUAGAAGGAAAGAAAGGUUCAUGGGCAAAGUCUGGCCCUGCUAUGGACUCCACGCAGCUUUACAAACAUCUGAGAAGAAAACGUUCCAUUAUCAG